CGCCAGCUCUCCGCCCCGGGGAGACCAGCCACCAGCCAGGCUGCGUGUGGAACCAGGGGCAGCUCCGGUGCAUCUGCCAGAGGCAGGAGGCCAGGACCCACCACACUCACCCCGAGAGCCAGACUUUCCCGUCCCCGGAAGUGAAGACCCUUCGCUGCCCCGGUCCCUGGCUCUGCUACCUACAGAAAUGUCCCCUGGAGCUCUCACAGCGUGAGCGACGCCAGCAGGAGUGAGAACGGCGUUGCCCGCUCAGCACCAGUGCUGGGUAGAGCUGUGGACCCCCGGGGUUUCCCUGCCGCUGCUCCGCUCCGUAACAUCCCAGCCCUGCCGGAGCAAGGGGCUGCCCCCCAGAACACACAGAAUGGAUACAAAUUGCUAUUUUGCCGGAAGACCAGCUCCCCAGGGAUUUCAUGGCUGUUGGGCAUUGUAGGUCUGUGCAGUCCAUAGCAGCAGAGAAACCCCCACGGAAAAUUAGAUCCGAGUACAGUUUUGUUCUGAGACGUGUCUGUCAAUGCUGCACAGCUCAGUGCCCUGCGUGGAUCCGCGGCACGGCUGCGAGGCGUCUAAAACCCUGUUGUACUGCCUGUUACAGAGCCAAGGUGCCCAUAGGAGGGGAGCUGGGGUCUUGUGUAUCCUUCACCAAAUUCGCACUUGAGUGAUGACAGUGGGGUG